UUUAGGACCAGGACGCGGCAGCUCUGGUGCAGGUGAGUAUUUAUUAACGAAGGGAAAAACAAACAACAAAGGCACUGGGAACAUGAAACUGGAACCUAAACUGGGUAAAACUAACAAAGGCAAAACAAAACAGGAGCACUAGAAGGCCAAAAGACAAAAAUAAAAACAAAACACGAGUCCAAACCAAAAGAAAAGAAGCACACCAGAGCACAGGAAAACAGAGUCCAAAACAGAAAAGGUCAGGGGGCCGGCCAGCACAGGAGUCCAAACAGUUCAGGGGGCCGACCGUGCAGAAGGCAACGGCGACGACGACAGCACUGGUCCGGGGGCCGGCCGUGCGGAAGGCAACGGCGACAGCACUGGUCCGGGAGCCGGCCGUGUGGAAGGCAACGGCGGCCACUCAGGCGAAGAGGGUCUGGGAGCUGGCCGUGCGGACGGCAACGGCGGCCACUCAGGCGAGGAGGGUCUGGGGGCCGGCCGUGCGGAAGGCAAUGGCGGCCACUCAGGCGAUGGCGGUCCGGGGGCCGGCCGUGCGGAAGGCCACGGUGGCCACUCAGGCGAAGAGGGUCUGGGGACCGCCCACGACGGCGAUGGCGCCUGGCCAGUUGCCUGGCCAGCGGCCUAGAAAGCGGCCGUUUAGCUGCAGACCCAAACGAGGCAGGGCCAGGCGACACUGAAGGCGGAGACACGGAGGCUGGACCAGGCGACGCUGAAAACACGGAGGCUGGACCAGGCGACGCUGAAGACACGGAGGCUGGGCCAGGCGAGGAUGACGAGGCUGCAGCUGGACCAGGCGAGGAUGACGAGGCUGCAGCUGGACCAGACGGCGCUGCAGGCGGCAGCGUGGAAGCCGGAGACGGAGGCGCUGCAGGCGGCGGCGUGGAAGCCGGAGCCGGCCGUGCGGAGGGCCACGGCGGCCACUCAGGCAAAGAGGGUCUGGGAACUGCCCACGACGGCGAUGGCGCCUGGCCAGUUGCCUGGCCAGCGGCCUAGAAAGCGGCCGUUUAGCUGCAGACCCAAACGAGGCAGGGCCAGGCGACACUGAAGGCGGAGACACGGAGGCUGGACCAGGCGACGCUGAAAACAUGGAGGCUGGACCAGGCGACGCUGAAGACACGGAGGCUGGGCCAGGCGAGGAUGACGAGCUGCAGGCGGCGGCGCUGCAGGCGGUGGCGUGGAAGCCAGAGCCGGAGGCGCUGCAGGCGGCGGCGUGGAAGCCAGAGGCGCUGCAGACCCUCCAGUGGAGACAGGAGACAAAGGCCGGAGCGGUCCCUCGGACCCUCCAGCGGAGACAGGAGACGAAGGCCGGAGCGGUCCCUCGGACCCUCCUGUGGAGACAGGAGACGAAGUCAUCACUAAGCCAGCAGUCAUGGAGGCCACUAGCUGACACAAAGGCGACUGUCAAUGCACUGACCACGGGCUCUGCCCAGGCAAUGCUGACAUGGUGCAGUUCUCAGGUGGCUGCUUAGACUUCAGGGGUCCAGAAUCAGCUGGGGACUGAGACCUAGCCUCUGGGGAAGCCCUGGAGUGCAGAACGGUGCCUGAAGCAGCUAAAGCGCGAGAAAUUCCCUGACUGGAACUUAGACUUUCUCCCUGCGUAGAGUGAGUGUGUGAGACCGGUGACACUGGAGCCAGAGCUGCGGGUAGCGGGGGCACUGGAGCUGCGGGUAGCGGGGGCACUGGAGCUGCGGGUAGCGGGGGCACUGGAGCUACGGGGGCCUGAGCUACAGGUGACACUGGAGGCGCAGGGGCCUGAACUACAGGUGACACUGGAGGCACUGAAAAGAGGGAGACACUGGUGGCCGAGCAGAGUGUGGCUGCGGGGCAGCUAGCUGAGAAGAGUGUGCGAUCGGCGUUUCCUCCCCGCAGACGGCUCCGACGGGCCGGGCAAGAUCACAUCCGGCGAGUUGGGCAGUGAGGCAGGAGUGGCUGAGAGAAGGUGCGGUGUGUGCUGGAGAAAAGCCUGCAUGGUCGGAGGAAGCGACUUCAGAAGCCAUGGCAGGCCAGAAAAGAGCCAUUGUAGCCGACUUUCCACGGUGCGGCGAAGCUCCUCUGGAGGGUUCUCUAGCCACAGCCCGAGGAGAAUCUCCACAUUAUAUGUAGUGUCGUCCCGGAGCUCCUCGGACGGAUUUACUGCCGCUGGGUCCAUGGUGGCUGGUUCGUACUGUCACGGUUUGCCAGGGCAAGCCGUGUGGAAUAUUUAGGACCAGGACGCGGCAGUUCUGGUGCAGGUGAGUAUUUAUUAAUGAAGGGAAAAACAAACAACAAAGGCACUGGGAACAUGAAACUGGAACCUGGCUCAAGAGUUGGCAGUUCAUCUUGUAAUCGGAAGGUUGCUGGUUCGAGCCCUGGCGCAGACAGUCUCGGUCGCCUACUGGUCGCCAACUGGUUGCCUACUGCACACCUCAGAGUGCCCGGUGGCGCCAGUGUCCGGCAGCCUUGUCUCUGUCAGUGCGCCAUGCUGCCAGGCAUUGUUAUUCAAUUGAUCACAGUGGCAAUGUAGCAUGCCAUCACCAAUGUGUGUGUGAAUGACUGAAUGAUUCACACACAGAGUUGGGGAGUAACGAUUACUUUUUUCAAGUAACAAGUAAAGUAAGGGAUUACUAUUGCAAAAACGGUAAUUAGAUUACCGUUACUUUCCCGUAGGAACGCUGCGUUACUAAAAACGUGAUUAUUUUGCGAGAAUGUCUCAUGACAGUGACGUAAGCAAGUGUGACGUUCGUGACAACAGCUGUGUGCAGAGCAACAAUGGAUAAUAUAUCAGUGCGGGCGAGAGUAUGAGCGUGCAGCGUUUAAAGCGUGGAAGUACUGAUCUUACUUUGAGUUUGAUUCCAUAAAAAGUGACAAAAACAUUAGUGUCCGUUGUGCGUGGGAAGAAAACUUCUUUUUACAGCAAAAAACCCCCCUAAACUUCCGAACAAGCACCGAGUAGCUACCACGUAAUGGGAAAUUCACAGAGAAACUCGCGGAUUCUUCCUCUGACUUCUGCGGCACACCUGCACCAGGGUAACCUCCGCCUACCCCACUCCUGCUUUACAGGUGAAAAUAGAGCAAAAGGACAGCUAGUCUUUGACUUUAUUUAUUUUCUGCUGUGUUUUACUUGCAUCUAUUUGAAAGAGUGAGUGUAAACACACAAAAAAAAAUGUGCUGGAAUGUGCAGAAAAUAGGUUUAAAUAUUAAACAAAUUUCUUCCAGUCAGAGAAUGUUGCAUAUAAUUACAUUUAUGCUUGAUGCAUGAAGUUAAAAGAUUAAAACUAAUAAAACAAGUUUUAAAAAGAGACUUUUCCAUUUGAUUACAUUUUGUAUGAUGAUUAUGCAGAAAAAGUAGAAUUGGGCUGAAAGAUCUAUCGCUUUAUCACCUAUUCAGGUUGUAAAUAGGGCUGCCACAAACGAUUAUUUUGAUAGUCGACUAGUCACCGAUUAUUUUUGCGAUUAGUCGACUAAUUAGAUCAUCAUCCAUUGGACGUACAGCGUACAGCUUAUUGCACCAGAAGCAUCUGGUCUUAUAUAACUAUCAUUAGCUUACAGCUUGAAGUGUUUGUGCUAACUAAAAAUAAAGACAAGAUGGUAGUUUAUUAAUUUUUAAUGAAAUUUGCAGAUUGUUUCGGUGAAGUUUAAUAAACUCCUUGCUUUCUAAAAUAUAACAGGACACCGGAGUAUAUUCUCCAGCGUCUCACACUUCUGACAAUCAGCUGUCUGCUUGACAGUUUUAGCUGUGCAAAAACUAUAACUUUAAUCUCAGCCAAACCGAUUUACUCAGGAACAAAUAAAAUACUAAAGAAAGCCAAACAAUAACAUUUUUAAGUUAUCUAAGUGACUUAUAUAUAUGUUUAACCUGACUAGCGAAAGACGGCGGUGGGUUUGAAAACGAUUUGCCGGGAGUCCGGUGUUCUCACGGCUCUAGUUAGCCUUGCCCCCGCCUAGCUAACGAGCUAGUAGGUAACAGACGUCUCCGAAAACGUCGGAGCGCUUUUGAAAAUACGUGGUGUCUUGAUAAACUGAGCAGAUAUUUGAGAUUUACACGGCUACAUUCUCGCCUGAAAAUAUGUUAAACGUUUAUUUUGUGACCCAGAAAGAAUAAUAAGAGUAAAGUUAAAACUAACUAGCUGCCACCAUUGUUGACAACUGCGCUGGGCUGCGCUAUGAAUUCUGGGACACAGCUUCUUCUUCUUCGGGGUUUAACGGCAGCUGGCAUCCUUGUACAUGCAGUGCUGCCAUCUUCUGUUUCAGUCCGUUAUUACACUCUUAAAUCCUACUACUCAUUCCUGCGUCCUUUGUGAUCUUACAAAGCUUCAAACGAUGCGUCGACUAUUAAAUCAGUCGUCGACGAUUUUAAUAGUCGACAUAAUCGUGACUAGUCGACUAAUCGUGGCAGCCCUAGUUGUAAAUGGUGUUUUUAAAAAGUAACUAAGUAAUCAAUUACUUUUGAAAAUAAGUAAUCAGUAAAGUAAAGGGAUUACUUUUUUGGGGAAGUAAUCAGUAAUUAGUUACUGAUUACUUUUUUCAAGUAAUUUGACCAACACUGUUCACACACACAUUCAAGAUGACUGAAUGCAGUGUAAAGCGCUAUACAAAUACAGGCCAUUUGCCAUAUUUAAUAUUAAGUACAAUUUUGAUUACAUUCAGUUUACAAUAUUAAGUAAAUGGAUUAAGUAAAUUGGAGAAUCACUUCUGGACUGUAGGCAAAGCAGUUUAGCACCCAGGGUCUUCUUUGUAGUAGGAGCUAUGGCUGCAAUAAGCACUGUCUUACUGAAAAAUGCAAGCCCUCCCCAAUUAUGCUUUAAUUGUGUAUAACAUAUGGGUUUAUGAAAUUUGCAAAUCUUGCAAAUCUUGUGGUUUCUCAAUUUGUUGAGGGGUUGUACAUUGUGUAAUGUGUUGAAACAAAAUUAUGCAACAACAGUUGCCCUUUGAGAUCUGGAUUCAAACCACACCAAAAAUCAAAGUUAAGUUUUUCCUAGUUUUUUGAGAAUCACUAAGCACUAAGUCUACCUAGAUAUGCAGUCUAUAGUCUACUUAGGGUGGUAGAGGAAGCUAUUGCUUUUCAGAAAUUUGGUGGCUCCAGGUAUUUUAGUUUGUUUUUUCUAUUGUGUCUUUACUGCGACAGUGCAGUGGAGAUAAGACCAGACAGCUGGGAGCUGAGAGAAAGAGCAGGGGGAGGCAAACGGCAAAUUGAAGUGAAUUUGAACCCCGGCCUCUGCAUUAGCCUGUCAGUUUGUAGGUCACUUACUCAAGAUGCUUACUAAACUCCCUCAGAUUUCUAUUAAGAAUUCUCUCUGUCUGUAAAGGAUUCUCGCAUUUGAGCUACCAGUGUUUAACCAGAAACAUCAUAAGAAAAUAUAACUCAUAAACCCAGAAAUUAAAUCUAUGGGGCAAAACCAUAUUUAUAAAAUUAGACCUGUGAUAUAUAGACAGUUACCCUAAUGACCACUGAAAUUUAAACUUAUUGAGAUAAUGCUUCUAAAUAACUGCCUAAGGAAGUGCCCCGAUGCGCUUCAAGAUGGCUGCCGAGUAGUGACAUUUGCCACCACCAUUAUUAAAACGUCUGUAUUUAUAUACAAUAAAUAACCACGUAGAAAAAGUAAAGCGGGUCUAAAGUCCGCUAGAUGGCGUAAUUACACAUCUUUAAAUACAAUACCAGGUGUAACGUGGGCUUCCCCAUAUAAUAAUAAUAAUAAUAAUAAUAAUAAUAAUACCAUUAAUAUUUUCACUGACUGAUGUCCUAUGUCACCUCACCCCACCGUGAGUUUGAUUGUUCGGUCUUGGACAGCAUCGCGUGGACUCAGCUGGAGUCUUACUUAAGUUUCAUUUCUCUUCUUUUGCGUCAGCAGCAAUAAUGCUGCUCCUUUUAACAGUAGCUUCCUGCAUUCUUUAUGAUGUUCCUGCACGGUUAGUCUGAUGAUGCAGGGGCUUCAGCCUCCCUCCCAUUUCUGUUUUUCUGCUAGCUGAAAACUGAUUAUUGACUUCUUUAAAAAAAUUAAAAAAAACAAGACUUCACCUGAAAAGCGUAUGAUGUUAUGAUAUACAUUGGUCGUGUCAUCACACAGAGCAUAAUUUACAUUAUUACUAUUAUAAUGGUUCCAGAGGAACAAGAAAAAAAAAAACACUUAUUAUAAUAAAACUUAUAAAGAAACUAGAGUUACUGAAGUGUGACAUUAACAGUCGGUUUCGCACUGUCCAAUGUUUUAUAAACAAUUUGAUAACCAUGAGAAAAUGCCGAAUACCGGCCAUUAAAAAAAAAAAAAAAUCCACAUUCACGUUUAGAAUCAUUUUGUAUACACAUAAUGAGACUUCUACUGCUACUACUACUACUAAUAAUAAUAAUACCACUAAUAAUGCUUACCGUUAAACCAAGGUCCUAUUUGUCAACUGAUCCCAAUGUGAGUCUGAUCGACAACAGCGGGACUUGGAUAGCAUACCCUGGACUCAUCUUGGCUGCAACCGUCGGUCUCAGUUAAGUUUCAUUUCUCGUCUCUUCCGUCAGCAACAGUUUGGAUAUAAUAAACACGACCUUAACCCCACCCACAUUUGUUCACAGACAAAUGCUUGGUCAUCGAAAAAAAUGUUGUUUCUAUUACCUGCAGCUUCCUGUAUUCUUUAUGUUGUUCCUGCAUUGUUAGUCGGGUUACUCCCCAUUCCUGUUUUUCUGCUUGCUGCAAACUGAUUAUGUACUUUUAAAAACAUUAUUAUUAAAGACCAAGUGCGUAGAUUU
ensembl:lncRNA